GAUGAACGCUAGCGGCAGGCUUAAUACAUGCAAGUCGUGGGGCAGCAUGAAGUAGCAAUACUUUGAUGGCGACCGGCAAACGGGUGCGGAACACGUACACAACCUUCCUUUUAGUGGGGAAUAGCCCAGAGAAAUUUGGAUUAAUACCCCGUAACAUAGCGAUGAGGCAUCUCAUUGCUAUUAUAGCUUCGGCGCUAGAUGAUGGGUGUGCGUAUGAUUAGAUAGUUGGCGAGGUAACGGUUCACCAAGUCUACGAUCAUUAGCUGAUGAGAGAGCAUGAUCAGCCACACGGGCGCUGAGACACGGGCCCGACUCCUACGGGAGGCAGCAGUAAGGAAUAUUGGUCAAUGGACGAAAGUCUGAACCAGCCAUGCCGCGUGAAGGAUUAAGGUCCUCUGGAUUGUAAACUUCUUUUAUAUGGGACGAAAAAAGGUCUUUCUAGAUCACUUGACGGUACCAUAUGAAUAAGCACCGGCUAACUCCGUGCCAGCCGCCGCCGUAACAC
rnacentral:rRNA from 1 species